GAAUAUUUGGCUUUGUAUCUUCUAACAAGGAAACACUACUUAGGCUUUCAAGAUCCGGUUGCGGUU
rnacentral:sRNA from 1 species